AACGGUCUAUACCUGCGGUACCUGCGGAAGGAUCAUUAAUGAGAAGCUGCCCCUCGUGGGUAGACCUCCCACCCUCUGUGAACUUACCUUUGUUGCUUUGGCAGGCCCGUCCUCUGGACCGCCGGCUUCGGCUGGCCCGUGCCUGCCAGAGGAUUCCAAACCCUGUCUGUCAGUGUUGUCUGAGUCUAUAUGAAAUCGUUAAAACUUUCAACAAUGGAUCUCUAGAUCGGAAGAGCACAC
rnacentral:misc_RNA from 1 species